AGUGAACGCUGGCGGUAGGCCUAACACAUGCAAGUCGAACGGCAGCACAGUAAGAGCUUGCUCUUACGGGUGGCGAGUUGCGGACGGGUGAGGAAUACAUCGGAAUCUACUUUUUCGUGGGGGAUAACGUAGGGAAACUUACGCUAAUACCGCAUACGACCUACGGGUGAAAGCAGGGGAUCUUCGGACCUUGCACGAUUGAAUGAGCCGAUGUCGGAUUAGCUAGUUGGCGGGGUAAAGGCCCACCAAGGCGACGAUCCGUAGCUGGCCUGAGAGGAUGAUCAGCCACACUGGAACUGAGACACGGUCCAGACUCCUACGGGAGGCAGCAGUGGGGAAUAUUGGACAAUGGGCGCAAGCCUGAUCCAGCCAUACCGCGUGGGUGAAGAAGGCCUUCGGGUUGUAAAGCCCUUUUGUUGGGAAAGAAAAGCAGCAGGUUAAUACCCCGCUGUUCUGACGGUACCCAAAGAAUAAGCACCGGCUAACUUCGUG
rnacentral:rRNA from 1 species